rnacentral:rRNA from 1 species
CCGCCUGGCCGCGGGAUUUCCGUAGGUGAACCUGCGGAAGGAUCAUUGACACGAAAUCCAUAUUCAACCACUCACCUUACUGUCGGGCUUAGCGAAAGCGGUCCAAUGGUAUCCAUCGACAAGACGGUUAAAUUCCCCUUGUUAGGUGGGUAUCACCUGUUCACCCAUUUCAACCAUUUUGUGAUAUAAAUUUUGUAAAACUUCUUUUACAACUUUUAGCGAUGGAUCCCUCGGCUCGGGUAACGAUGAAGGACGCAGCAAAAUGCGAUAAGCGUUGUGAAUGGCAGAAUCCCGCGAAUCAAGAGAAUGCUGAACGCAUACUGCGCUUUCAGGUUACUCCUGAAAGCAUCUUCGGCUCAGGGCAUUAAUAAUAUCAUGCAGUUGUAUGAGUGUGAUUUUUUCGCACCAUGCUACCAUGCGUUUAUGUGGGUCAGCGUUGAGUAUUCCGUUGGCGCAUUAAAUGAAAAGCGACGCUACCGUCGAUAUCGUAUGGAAUUUGUUUUACACAUGACUUACGAUAUUUUCGGAAGUGUUCUUGUACGAGGGUCAGCGUUGUUUUUAACAAUUGUCAGACCGUUCAUGCAUGAGCUCGAAGAAGGCUACCCGCUGAAUUUAAGCAUAUCAA